rnacentral:rRNA from 1 species
UAUCCUAAGAGAUUUUAAUCAAAAAACUUUGACGGUAUUAAUAUUUAUAAAGGAGUUUGUUUUUUAAUAGAUAACCCACAAUUUACCUUACUUAAAUUAUAUUUGUAUAUCACCGUAUAGAUUUUAUUUAAAAUUUCAUAAUGAAUAAUUUCAAAAUAUCAGGUCAUAACGCAGUUUUUUUAAGAUAAAAUGAACUACAGUAAUUUAUUAUAAACAGAUUAUUUUUUGAAAUAAAAAUAUGAAGAAGGAUUUAUUAGUAAAUAAAAAAUAAAUUAUUAUAUUGAAAAUUAUUAUUAAUAUGUACAUAUCGCCCGUCAU